GUGAGUAUAGCAUGGCUGUGAGGUGGCCCUGGAGUUAGGUCCCUCUCUGGCUAGACAGCUCUGCUCUGCUCCACU
rnacentral:pre_miRNA from 1 species